GACGAACGCUGGCGGCGUGCUUAACACAUGCAAGUCGAACGGAAAGGCCCUGCUUUUGUGGGGUGCUCGAGUGGCGAACGGGUGAGUAACACGUGAGUAACCUGCCCUUGACUUUGGGAUAACUUCAGGAAACUGGGGCUAAUACCGGAUAGGAGCUCCUGCUGCAUGGUGGGGGUUGGAAAGUUUCGGCGGUUGGGGAUGGACUCGCGGCUUAUCAGCUUGUUGGUGGGGUAGUGGCUUACCAAGGCUUUGACGGGUAGCCGGCCUGAGAGGGUGACCGGCCACAUUUGGACUGAGAUACGGCCCAGACUCCUACGGGAGGCAGAAGUGGGGAAUAUUGCACAAUGGGCGGAAGCCUGAUGCAGCAACGCCGCGUGCGGGAUGACGGCCUUCGGGUUGUAAACCGCUUUCGCCUGUGACGAAGCGUGAGUGACGGUAAUGGGUAAAGAAGCACCGGCUAACUACGUG
rnacentral:rRNA from 1 species